AGCGUACACGGUGGAUGCCCUGGCAGUCAGAGGCGAUGAAGGACGUGCUAAUCUGCGAUAAGCGUCGGUAAGGUGAUAUGAACCGUUAUAACCGGCGAUUUCCGAAUGGGGAAACCCAGUGUGAUUCGUCACACUAUCAUUAACUGAAUCCAUAGGUUAAUGAGGCGAACCGGGGGAACUGAAACAUCUAAGUACCCCGAGGAAAAGAAAUCAACCGAGAUUCCCCCAGUAGCGGCGAGCGAACGGGGAGCAGCCCAGAGCCUGAAUCAGUGUGUGUGUUAGUGGAAGCGUCUGGAAAGGCGUGCGAUACAGGGUGACAGCCCCGUACACAAAAAUGCACAUGCUGUGAGCUCGAUGAGUAGGGCGGGACACGUGGUAUCCUGUCUGAAUAUGGGGGGACCAUCCUCCAAGGCUAAAUACUCCUGACUGACCGAUAGUGAACCAGUACCGUGAGGGAAAGGCGAAAAGAACCCCGGCGAGGGGAGUGAAAAAGAACCUGAAACCGUGUACGUACAAGCAGUGGGAGCACAGAGCAAUCUGUGUGACUGCGUACCUUUUGUAUAAUGGGUCAGCGACUUAUAUUCUGUAGCAAGGUUAACCGAAUAGGGGAGCCGAAGGGAAACCGAGUCUUAACUGGGCGUUAAGUUGCAGGGUAUAGACCCGAAACCCGGUGAUCUAGCCAUGGGCAGGUUGAAGGUUGGGUAACACUAACUGGAGGACCGAACCGACUAAUGUUGAAAAAUUAGCGGAUGACUUGUGGCUGGGGGUGAAAGGCCAAUCAAACCGGGAGAUAGCUGGUUCUCCCCGAAAGCUAUUUAGGUAGCGCCUCGUGAAUUCAUCUCCGGGGGUAGAGCACUGUUUCGGCAAGGGGGUCAUCCCGACUUACCAACCCGAUGCAAACUGCGAAUACCGGAGAAUGUUAUCACGGGAGACACACGGCGGGUGCUAACGUCCGUCGUGAAGAGGGAAACAACCCAGACCGCCAGCUAAGGUCCCAAAGUCAUGGUUAAGUGGGAAACGAUGUGGGAAGGCCCAGACAGCCAGGAUGUUGGCUUAGAAGCAGCCAUCAUUUAAAGAAAGCGUAAUAGCUCACUGGUCGAGUCGGCCUGCGCGGAAGAUGUAACGGGGCUAAACCAUGCACCGAAGCUGCGGCAGCGACGCUUAUGCGUUGUUGGGUAGGGGAGCGUUCUGUAAGCCUGUGAAGGUGUACUGUGAGGUAUGCUGGAGGUAUCAGAAGUGCGAAUGCUGACAUAAGUAACGAUAAAGCGGGUGAAAAGCCCGCUCGCCGGAAGACCAAGGGUUCCUGUCCAACGUUAAUCGGGGCAGGGUGAGUCGACCCCUAAGGCGAGGCCGAAAGGCGUAGUCGAUGGGAAACAGGUUAAUAUUCCUGUACUUGGUGUUACUGCGAAGGGGGGACGGAGAAGGCUAUGUUGGCCGGGCGACGGUUGUCCCGGUUUAAGCGUGUAGGCUGGUUUUCCAGGCAAAUCCGGAAAAUCAAGGCUGAGGCGUGAUGACGAGGCACUACGGUGCUGAAGCAACAAAUGCCCUGCUUCCAGGAAAAGCCUCUAAGCAUCAGGUAACAUCAAAUCGUACCCCAAACCGACACAGGUGGUCAGGUAGAGAAUACCAAGGCGCUUGAGAGAACUCGGGUGAAGGAACUAGGCAAAAUGGUGCCGUAACUUCGGGAGAAGGCACGCUGAUAUGUAGGUGAAGUCCCUCGCGGAUGGAGCUGAAAUCAGUCGAAGAUACCAGCUGGCUGCAACUGUUUAUUAAAAACACAGCACUGUGCAAACACGAAAGUGGACGUAUACGGUGUGACGCCUGCCCGGUGCCGGAAGGUUAAUUGAUGGGGUUAGCGCAAGCGAAGCUCUUGAUCGAAGCCCCGGUAAACGGCGGCCGUAACUAUAACGGUCCUAAGGUAGCGAAAUUCCUUGUCGGGUAAGUUCCGACCUGCACGAAUGGCGUAAUGAUGGCCAGGCUGUCUCCACCCGAGACUCAGUGAAAUUGAACUCGCUGUGAAGAUGCAGUGUACCCGCGGCAAGACGGAAAGACCCCGUGAACCUUUACUAUAGCUUGACACUGAACAUUGAGCCUUGAUGUGUAGGAUAGGUGGGAGGCUUUGAAGUGUGGACGCCAGUCUGCAUGGAGCCGACCUUGAAAUACCACCCUUUAAUGUUUGAUGUUCUAACGUUGACCCGUAAUCCGGGUUGCGGACAGUGUCUGGUGGGUAGUUUGACUGGGGCGGUCUCCUCCUAAAGAGUAACGGAGGAGCACGAAGGUUGGCUAAUCCUGGUCGGACAUCAGGAGGUUAGUGCAAUGGCAUAAGCCAGCUUGACUGCGAGCGUGACGGCGCGAGCAGGUGCGAAAGCAGGUCAUAGUGAUCCGGUGGUUCUGAAUGGAAGGGCCAUCGCUCAACGGAUAAAAGGUACUCCGGGGAUAACAGGCUGAUACCGCCCAAGAGUUCAUAUCGACGGCGGUGUUUGGCACCUCGAUGUCGGCUCAUCACAUCCUGGGGCUGAAGUAGGUCCCAAGGGUAUGGCUGUUCGCCAUUUAAAGUGGUACGCGAGCUGGGUUUAGAACGUCGUGAGACAGUUCGGUCCCUAUCUGCCGUGGGCGCUGGAGAACUGAGGGGGGCUGCUCCUAGUACGAGAGGACCGGAGUGGACGCAUCACUGGUGUUCGGGUUGUCAUGCCAAUGGCACUGCCCGGUAGCUAAAUGCGGAAGAGAUAAGUGCUGAAAGCAUCUAAGCACGAAACUUGCCCCGAGAUGAGUUCUCCCUGACUCCUUGA
rnacentral:rRNA from 1 species